GGAAGAUUUAGUGACGGAAAUGUUUUCAGUACAGGCGUUUUGGCAAAGAAAUUGCUGGAUCAUACUCUACAUCUUCCGGCACCUACUGAGAUGAGGCCUUCCCAUUAUCUGAGAAUUUAAUGCGACCUUAUCCCAAACGAAGUGUCACUGAUAAUUUUGAAAACAAGGUCUUUAAUUACCGACUAUCGCGAGCACGCCAAACGGUUGAAUGCGCUUUUGGUAUACUUGCCUCGCGUUUUCGAGUUUUCCGAACACCUUUUGAAAUUAAAGUAGAAAGCGUGAUUAAUGUUGUUAAGACAGCAUGUGUAUUGCACAAUUAUUUAAGGAAAUAUUCAGUACGUCAAAGUGAAGAGGAAGACAACGAAGAUAUGCCGCAAGAUCAGCUGCUCUCCUUGAAAUCGAGCAAUGCUCGAAGUACACAGAAAGCUUUUCAGAUUCGAGAAAAUUAUACAAAUUAUUUCAACUCCGCAGGAGUGGUACCUUGGCAGAGGGAAAGUGUUGCUAGAGGGAAAUAUUGAGAUAUGUACACUUUAUAAUAAAUAAACUUACCACUUUUCA